UGAUGAAUGUGGUCCUGGAGUUUUCAUGG
rnacentral:piRNA from 1 species